rnacentral:rRNA from 1 species
AUUUCUAACGGGCCGAGUAACGACCGGCCGGACAGUCUUAGGCGGGCAGUUUGACUGGGGCGGUCGCCUCCAAAAGAGUAACGGAGGCGCCCAAAGGUUCCCUCAGAGCGGACGGAAAUCGCUCGAAGAGUGUAAAGGCAGAAGGGAGCUUGACUGCGAGACGGACAGGUCGAGCAGGGACGAAAGUCGGGCUUAGUGAUCCGGUGGUGCCGAGUGGAAGGGCCAUCGCUCAACGGAUAAAAGCUACCCUGGGGAUAACAGGCUAAUCUCUCCCAAGAGUCCAUAUCGACGGGGAGGUUUGGCACCUCGAUGUCGGCUCAUCACAUCCUGGGGCUGAAGUAGGUCCCAAGGGUUCGGCUGUUCGCCGAUUA